rnacentral:rRNA from 1 species
GAUGAACGCUAGCGGCAUGCCUAACACAUGCAAGUCGAGGGGUAUGAUUCUUUCGGGGAUCGGAGACCGGCGCACGGGUGCGUAACGCGUCUGUAACUUCCCCCAUUCACUCGGAUAGCCCUUCGAAAGGAGGAUUAAUACCGGAUAACACUAAUUUGUGCAUCCACUUUGGUUGAAAGAUUUAUCGGAUUGGUAUAGACAUGCGUCAGAUUGGCUAGUUGGAGAGGUAACGGCUCACCAAGGCGGUGAUCUGUAGGGGGCCUGAGAGGGUGCCCCCCCACACGGGUACUGAGACACGGACCAGACUACUACGGGAGGCAGCAGAGAGGAAUGUUAGGCAAUGGGGGAGAGCCUGAUCCAGCCGUCCCGCGUGCAGGAAGACGGCGCUAUGGGUGGUAAACUGCUUUUGUAGGGGAAUAAACCACCUUACGGGGAGGGUGUUGAAGGUACCAUACGAAUAAGCACCGGCUAACUCCGUG